ACAUUCUUUCGUUCCGUUUGUCCACCCUUCCCGUGCAAUCGAAACGCACCCCGCACGCUCUCCUGCCCAUGCGACUGGGUUCCACAGCCAGGAUUCGAUUCCCAUGCUAACCCCUUUUAUCUACCAAUUCCAAUACCGAUAACCCUCGUGGGCCUCACCUCCGGUCGCGCCGCCGCCACCUCUCUCCCUCCUUCCCUCUCGCCCACACACCCGGUGGACGGUGCUCAGACAUCGUAUCCCAUUUCGAUUCAAUUUGCCGGUGGUGUCCGCAACAGAGGGGAUGGCAAGCUCCUUCUCCUUCCUACUGUUUUCACCGACAGAGAUCGUGGCGUCGCUGCACUGCUACGACAUCACGCCUAGCCCCAACCUCUACGUCAAUCACGUCGAAAAUCUUCGGUCUGGCUUCGUCGCCAAGGUCCUCCAACUCUUCCUCGUCAACAUCCUUGGGUACGCCUGCGGCCUGCCCCUCAUCUCACCUGGAUGCGGCCUCAUCUCUGCAUUUGCUUUGCUUCGGGAGGUGGCGGCGGAUCUACAAGAGGGCCAAUGCCUUUCUCCAGUCGAUCUAGUUUCAGGACCUCAUGCUCCGCGGCCUCCUCCGUGCGGAUAGACCCCUUGUCGUCUACAUCCUCAGCCGCCCUCAUCAACUUCCUUCGCUUCAGGCAUGAUUGCUCACAGCCCAUCGCCAAAGAGUACAGCCCGCUUGAGGAAUGGCUGAAGAAUUGCUAAGAUCACCGAGCUCGAGAAGGCGAAAGAAGACCAUUUGCUUAAGGAGCAGGUGGAGGCACCAUGGUCCAGCAGCUCGAGAAGGAGUUCCAUGCCAUCAAGCGGAGGCUUCAUGAUUACAACAGAGAGCAGCUGUCGCUACGUGUUGCAUCAAAAGCCAUAGAGGAAAAGAUAGGAAGGUGUUGAUUCCUAUCUUGCGUUGCAUUUUUCCUUUCUUUUGAUUAGAAUGGUGCUUGGGCUUUUCCUUGGUAUGUUUUUUAUUCUUAUGUUCUGUGUGAUCGAUGAAAAGCAUAGGCUUACAAUUAAUGUGGGCUUUUGUUUACGUAUGUCAACUUUGAACCUCCUGCAUAUUUUGGCUGCUGUCAAUAAUCUUGGCACUACUACCUUGCUGCCUUAAGCUACAAUGCCGAUUA